GACGUAGGGCGCGAGCGUUGUCCGGAUUUAUUGGGCGUAAAGGGCUCGUAGGCGGCUCAUUGCGUCAACCGUGAAAACCAGCAGCUCAACUGUUGGCUUGCGGUUGAUACGGGUGGGCUGGAGUUCGGUAGGGGAGACUGGAAUUCCUGGUGUAGCGGUGAAAUGCGCAGAUAUCAGGAGGAACACCGGUGGCGAAGGCGGGUCUCUGGGCCGAUACUGACGCUGAGGAGCGAAAGCCAGGGGAGCAAACGGG
rnacentral:rRNA from 1 species